rnacentral:rRNA from 1 species
GCUUGUCUCAAAGAUUAAGCCAUGCAUGUCUAAGUGUAAAUAAGUCUAUACUGUGAAACUGCGAAUGGCUCAUUAAAUCAGUUAUCGUUUAUUUGAUGAUCUCUUACUACUUGGAUAACCGUAGUAAUUCUAGAGCUAAUACAUGCACAAAAUCCCGACUUACGAAGGGAUGUAUUUAUUAGAUUUAACCAAUAUAUGGUGAAUCAUAGUAACUGAUCGGAUCGUGCAAUUGCACGAUAAAUCAUUCAAGUUUCUGCCCUAUCAGCUUUCGAUGGUAGUGUAUUGGACUACCAUGGCAGUCACGGGUAACGGAGAAUUAGGGUUCGGUUCCGGAGAGGGAGCCUGAGAAACGGCUACCACAUCUAAGGAAGGCAGCAGG